UACAGAGGUCUCAAGCGUUGUUCGGAUUCAUUGGGCGUAAAGGGUGCGUAGGCGGCGCGGUAAGUCGGGUGUGAAAUCUCGGAGCUUAACUCCGAAACUGCAUUCGAUACUGCCGUGCUUGAGGACUGGAGAGGAGACUGGAAUUUACGGUGUAGCGGUGAAAUGCGUAGAUAAUCGUAAGGAAGACCAGUGGCGAAGGCGGGUCUCUGG
rnacentral:rRNA from 1 species